UUUUAGAACAAACCACCGUCAUUUACACUCUCCGGCAGAGCUCUCAACUCUCCGAUGUCGAUCAAAACCCUUUUUAACUCUCCGAUGACGAUGUCGAUGUCGAUCAAAACCCCUAAAUCGAUUUUCAUGUCUUAGUACUUCGGCUGUCAACUCUCCGAUGACGAUGUCGAUCAAAACCCUCUUUAACUCUCCGAUGACGAUGUCGAUCGAAACUCCUAAAUCGAUUUUUCCCGGCGAUCAAUCUAUUGGGAGGUAGGGAGUCAAAAGAUGUACAUGCGAUGGGGAGUCAAAAGAAGAAUUUGCACCAACAAAAUCUCAAAGUUUCUUCGUUUAUGGGACAAAAUGGAGGGACUGCCGUCCAGAGAUUACAAGCGGUACUGAACAGAGUAUUUGAAGAAUCAGGAUUACUAUACUCAAUGUAACUUUUGCGUCUUGCAUUUUUUUUGGUGAUUCACUGGUUCCUGAUUCCACUGAUAAAAACUGCCUGGAGGGUGUCAAAGUUCUCCAACAGGUUGAUAAGAAGUUAAUUUCGAUUGUGUCAAACACAACACAACACCCAUGAUGUGCCAUGCCGGAUGAUGAUUAAAAUUAAGACAGUUCAUGAUGUGCCAUUCAUGCCAGUAAGGAGACUGCAUCAUUCUCAAGAAGCUAUCUUCUAGGAGCUUUCACAGCCGUCAUCCCAUCAAUAUGUUCAACCUUCCACCCCAAGUUGUGGUGACGGUGUAUUCUCUGUUGAAAGGUUAUGUUAUCAAAUUUCUUGGGAGCGUUAGGUCUCUUUCUGAUAUUAUCUCAACUAAUUAUGUCAAUAACUCACACGAUCAGAUGCUUCUUUCUUCAUGCCAAAUGUGAAAAGGAAACUUCUUAACAUCUGGAAUAGCAAAUUAGAAGCUCAAGGGGGGAAUGCACAGGUACACGCGAUGGGCAGUCAAAAGAAGGGAAACCAUUCCUGCCAUUUGUUCCUGACCUGAAUAAGAGCUGAAUUUUCCUAGUGCAUGUUUCAAAUUUGCACCAACAAAAACUCGAAGUUUCUUAGAUUCUGGGAUAAAAUGGUGGGACUUCCCUAGAGAUUGCAAGCGGUACUGGAACAGAGAAUCUUAAGAAUCAGGAUACUAUACUCAGUGUCACUUCUGGCGUGUGCAUUUUAUCGGUGAUUCAUUGGUUCCUGAUACCAUUGAUAAAAACUUCCUUAAGGGUGCCAAAGUUCUCCAACAGGUUGAUAAGAAGUUUAUUCCGAUUGUGGCAAGCACAACACCUGCUAUAAUUGAUCAGGAUUUUUCUCUUUGCAGUCAUUGUUCGUGAUGUAUUUUACAAUGAACCAGUUCGAACUGAAAGAAGGUCUUGCAUUCUCUGAAAGAGUCUCUGCCAAGAAUCACCCUUGUGCAUCCCAGUGUCUCCUUCAAAAUUGCUGAUAUUGAAAGUGAGGAUGACCUGCUUUGCACAUGUGCCUCUCCUUCUCCGUUGCCACUAUUGUCCAGUGAGUCUGUGAGGAUGACCUGGUUUGCACAAAUGCUUCUCCUUCUCUGUUGCCACAAUUGUCCAGUGGGUUUGGGAUUCAUCUGAGCUCCCUUAACAGAUUGAAUGCAAGUGAUGGUUCAUUCAAGCUCUCACGAUACGUUUCAGGUCCUGAUUUUUACGCAAUGAACGUAUAAAGUCCCAAAUUGAUGGAUAAGAGAUGUGAUAAGUUAUCUUUUCUACCAUCUGUUUCCCUAACAACCAUUAUUUAAUUUGCAGGUCCUUCAAUAUUUUUGUAUCCACUUAUUUCAGUAUAUUUUCCUGGCCAAAAGAAAAACGAAAAACUAAUCUUUGGUAAACAUUUUCUAUACCAGAUGGUUGUUUUAAUGUUGUUUUUGUUUUCCUUUACCUUCGUAAUGCAGAUAUCAAUUCAAGAUUUGUUUCCAAAGGACCAAUACAUAAAUUACUUAAUAACAUAGCUAUGUUUUCACAGUGCUUGUGACAUUGAGAAGCGAAGUAGAUCUCAGAUAUAUUCCACUGUUUCUGUUGAACUUAAACUGUCCUAGAUCUUUAUAUGAUUCGACUUUGGAGCCUUCAAAGAUCUCUGUGGAAUUUAAGGAUUGGCACCCCGUCCUUCUCUUUAUUGAGGAUACUGUCACGAAUCUCUGGACUAUAUUCUGAGAUCAGUAAAGGCAGGUGCAGAGCUCAGAGUUGCAAAGCUACACUUGAACUUCCUUCCCUGCUGCCAAAGAAACUGACUGGAGAAUGCUCUGUCAGAGAGAUAUCCAAUCUUCUUCUGAUAUUCUGUGGGGAAGUGCUUCUGAAAAGCAUGAUCCUGGGUCCAGAUUCCUCUGUCAGAUUGAAAGGUCAAGUCGGUCAAAUUAUGGAUCUCUUGCUCAUUGCACAGCCGGUGUAAACUGGAGAUCCAGAAGCUCUGUGCAACCCCUCUCAUCUAAUGUUUUACCUAGGAUGAUUUCCUUGAUAACAAAUUCCUGGAUAGCAAAAUCAAUGCUUCAGCUAGCUCCAGUUAUAAAUCAGAAAAUCUGUUAGGUUCAGGAUGGGAGGAUGAGUCUCAAACAAUUGUAGCUGGCAAAUCAACAGACGAUACCUCAUUUAGUGAGUCAGUUGAACUUGAUGACAGUGCAAAAUUGAUGCAUGAGAGUAGGAAACCAUUUAUAUGCGGAUCUGUUCUUUUCACAGAAGCCUGAUACAUGAUGGAACAUCUUUUGAUAUUGAUGAAGAUAUAAGUUUGAAAAAGUGACUACAGUACUAAACAAAAUUGCCUUGGAGAUGGUGUUGAAUUUAAUGUAGUUGAUAAUAUUUACCA